rnacentral:rRNA from 2 species
UAGGGAAUCUUCGGCAAUGGACGAAAGUCUGACCGAGCAACGCCGCGUGAGUGAAGAAGGUUUUCGGAUCGUAAAACUCUGUUGUUAGAGAAGAACAAGGACGUUAGUAACUGAACGUCCCCUGACGGUAUCUAACCAGAAAGCCACGGCUAACUACGUGCCAGCAGCCGCGGUAAUACGUAGGUGGCAAGCGUUGUCCGGAUUUAUUGGGCGUAAAGCGAGCGCAGGCGGUUUCUUAAGUCUGAUGUGAAAGCCCCCGGCUCAACCGGGGAGGGUCAUUGGAAACUGGGAGACUUGAGUGCAGAAGAGGGGAGUGGAAUUCCAGGUGUAGCGGUGAAAUGCGUAGAUAUAUGGAGGAACACCAGUGGCGAAGGCGGCUCUCUGGUCUGUAACUGACGCUGAGGCUCGAAAGCGUGGGGAGCAAACAGG